UGGGGAGUAUUGCACAAUGGGGGAAACCCUGAUGCAGCAACGCCGCGUGGGUGAAGAAGGCCCUUGGGUCGUAAAGCCCUUUCGACGGGAAAGAAGGGACAUACUGCUAACAGUUGUAUGUUUUGACGGUACCUGGAGAAGAAGCACCGGCUAAUUUCGUGCCAGCAGCCGCGGUAAUACGAAAGGUGCAAGCGUUGUUCGGAUUUAUUGGGCGUAAAGCGCACACAGGCGGGUUUGUGUGUCGAUUGUGAAAUACCUGGGCUCAACCUGGGAAUUGCAGUCGAAACUGCAAAUCUUGAAUACUUGCGAGGGUGGGAGAAUUCCUGGUGGAGAAGUGAAAUUCGUAGAGAUCAGGAGGAAUACCGGAGGCGAAGGCGCCUACCUAGCAGUGUAUUGACGCUCAAGUGCGAAAGCGUGGGGAGCAAACAGG
rnacentral:rRNA from 1 species